AUUUCCUUUCGCAAGGAGCCUGGUGGGUAACGAUGGUGUGCUGCUGAGAAGGCUCUUACACAGACAGCAUAGGUCUGCUGUUACCAGGCCUGCAGAGGGAAGCCCUGGUGGAAGCACCACCUAGCCUGAGAACAUCUACAGAGACAUUUCAUCCUCUCUGACCCAAAACAAAAUAAACACCACAAAGUGAACCAACACAAGCAGGAAGACCGGACUUAACAAACAAAUGGGGAAACUGAGGCCAUGAGAAAUUAAGUGACUUGCCCAUGGCUACACUGAUGAUUAACCACAAUGUGAAGAUUAGAAUUAAUCUCCUGACUCCUGAUCCAGUGGUCUUUCCUGGGAAUUUGUCUCUUCCCCCCUGCUGCUCCUGCCGUGGUCUUCACUGCCCAACAAGAAGGUCCUGUUUCUACUGAUCCAUUAAGCAGUACUUAACCGUCUUGGGGGAGGGUCCAGCCCAGCAGCGCUACAUGGGGCUUUCGAAAGGUGCCAAUGAACUGACUUGGUCUCACAAUUGGAAAACAAGGCCUGCUCUGCUGCCUGGGCCUCCUGGCCUCACCUUUGCUGUGUUCACCCUCUACCUCUGCUUCCCCUGCAGAAUUAGACAGCUAAAAACAUUUCUAUCAGCCUAAGAAGCUAUUUACUUUAGAAAAAAAGCACACUGUCUUUGUGAGACUCACCCUUGCAUUUAUCUUCCUUCAGGAAGAGGGUCAAAGCAAAGCCAACUGGGGACCCCAGCUGAUUCUGCUGCUUCUUCCACUAAACACAUCCAUAAUAUUCUCUUUGGUAAUACUGCAGAUUUCCAAAUGUGCCAAAACAGCUAAGCAAAAAGCAUCAUUCCAACACGUUUAAUGACUGCUUUGGGAGCCCAACUUUAACAGGUAUUAAAACCACAGGACUCUCCACAGGAGUACAUAGAU
rnacentral:lncRNA from 1 species